rnacentral:pre_miRNA from 1 species
GCUCAACUGUUUUUGCGAUGUGUUCCUAAUAUGCAUUUAGAAAUAUAUUGGGAACAUUUUGCAUGCAUGGUUUUGUAUC